CUACGGGCGGCUGCAGUGAGGAAUAUUGCACAAUGGGGGAACCCUGAUGCAGCAACGCCGCGUGGAGGAUGACGCAUUUCGGUGUGUAAACUCCUUUUAUAUGUCGAGAAAAUGACGGCAGCAUAUGAAUAAGCACCGGCUAACUCCGUGCCAGCAGCCGCGGUAAUACGGAGGGUGCAAGCGUUACUCGGAAUCACUGGGCGUAAAGGACGCGUAGGCGGGUUGGAAAGUCAGGUGUGAAAUCCUACAGCUUAACUGUAGAACUGCACUUGAAACUUCUAAUCUAGAGUAUGGGAGGGGGAGAUGGAAUUAGUGGUGUAGGGGUAAAAUCCGUAGAUAUCACUAGGAAUACCUAAAGCGAAGGCGAUCUCCUGGAACAUUACUGACGCUAAGGCGUGAAAGCGUGGGGAGCAAACAGGAUUAGAUACCCUAGUAGUC
rnacentral:rRNA from 1 species